rnacentral:tRNA from 5 species
GGUGCCAUAGCUCAGUUGGUAGAGCAAAGGACUGAAAAUCCUUGUGUCCCCGGUUCGAUUCCUGUGGCACCACCA